GAGGAGAAUGCCUGGGAUAUCAUUUUCUUCAGUGUAGUGUAGUAAAUCGUAUAUUAAUCUGGUGUUUUCACCAAUAAAUCUACCAGGUAUAAAUCCUGUCUGGUCAUUAUUAAUUAAGAUUGUUAAAACUGACUUUAUCCUUUCUGCAAUGCAACUUGAUGCUAAUUUAUAAAUAUUAUUUAAAAGACUGAUUGGCCGCCAAUUCUUCAUGUAUUGUUUUGGUUUGUCACCUUUUGGUAUGCAAGUUAUAAUACCUUGUUUUGGGUAAUAGACAUUUCCCCUUGAUUAUAGCCAUAUUUAAUUGAUCUAUGUAUGAAUUUACCUAUAUCAAUCCAAAAAAAAUUUAGGAAUUCAUUUGUAUAUCCAUCCGAUCCAGGGCUUUUCUCAUUUUUC
rnacentral:lncRNA from 1 species